UCCCAGUUAGUACAAUGGUUAGUAUAGGGCACUCUCACUCGACCGUUGUAUCAACACGGUUUGUGUGCUGCUCAGAUCAGGGUUCGAUUCCCUGGCCGGGAA